rnacentral:snRNA from 1 species
CGAAUAUUAGUGCCGAAA